AAGCCAUCUGGUGGACCGUUCCUGUUUUCAAUUGUAGAGAGUCACUGACUGAAGUGCCAAUCAACAGCAGACAAAUGGGCUCUCCCAUCAAGAUGUGGAAACUGUAGGAUUGUCAAUUCCUUGGUCUCAUGUCACAUUUCCAUGUGAAUCCUUCUAAAAAAAAAGGAAGGGCCAGUGAAGUCUCCAUCGACAAGCUAACUGGAAGUUAAUGGCUUAAUGGCUACCAGCCAUGUCUAUUGAAUAGAAUAGAAUAGAAUUUUUUAUUGGCCAAGUGUGAUUGGACACACAAGGAAUUUGUCUUGGUGCAUAUGCUCUCAGU